rnacentral:lncRNA from 1 species
GAUUUCGAUGAAAUUGCAUUUGGAAAGAAAAAUCAAAGGAGAAAAUCAUUUCGAUAAGGCCAAAGCAUUUGAGUUUGACCUUUUAGGAAUUAAAUGGCAUAGGGUUUUUUUCCAUUUCAAAAAGCGUUUUGUUUCAAUGUUAUAUAUAUAGAAAUAUAUCUGUAAGAACUGCUGAAGCCAGAAUGAAAUAUUGUGAUUAUCCCAACAUGUGAUGAUACAUUUCCCCCAGUGCAAUACUACAAGAAAUUAAGCCCAAAUAUCCUGCUUUGAAACCUGGAACAUCAGAGCAGCAGGACAAUGUGUUCAGGUCUCGGAACCACCCAUUUGCACUGGACUAUUUGCUGUCCAACACUUUGGAAAUCAAAAAUUUGCCAAGUAGCCCCAGGUACUAAUGAUUGGCUAAAUCAGCACUUGACUUUCAUCUUCCUCGGGGCACGGAUUCUCCUUUUUCCCAGCUGAAAAGUUCCCAGUGAUAAUGAGAACAGCAAAUGUUUUGUCUUCACAAGAGAUGAGCAGAACACGGGCGUGGGAGGAACUCUCGGAAUCCCGGAGAUGGCUCCAGCUUCUCCCAGCGCUGCUUUUUCCCACAGCUCACUCUCUCCACCACAGUCUUCUUCUGGAAAAAAAAGUGAAGAGAGAAGAGUCACAAAACUCCCCUCCAGUCUGAGGGACAGUGACAAGCAGAGCAGAGGAGGGAUGAGUGGGACCAUGCUGGGAAGGAUGUCAGGAGAGCGGCCAAAGCCAAGCAAAGCCCCCAGAGUGCCUGGUUAAUGCGGGAUGAUGCCGUGCUCCUGCAGCUGCAGCCAGCUUAGCUGAGCGAGCGCAGAGAUAAGAGCAGGGCUUGAGAACCAGCUCUGAAGAGCCAUAAAAAUCACAAGUACAGAAGAGAGAAAAUCUCCAUUAAAGCCAGGCUGUAAUUGUAACUCACUGGCUGGCCAGGGCUGUGCAGCCCGAGCUGCUGGACAGGGCCCUGCUCUCCCCCGGGAGCUCCCGGAUCUGCCGGAGCUUUGGAGCCAGAGCGAGGCUGCCUGAGCCCUGACGGUUCCACUCAGCAGCCGAGAUAAUUCCGGGAUGGGGGCAAGGAGCUGAGCUCCAGCCCCGGGAGGGAUUUCUCAGCAGCCUCCCAGGGAAAGGAGCGCAGGCCGGGCGCUCACUGACCGUCAGUCGUGCUCUGCUCGUCGAAUCAAGGCCAUGUGCUAAACCCUCUGGAAGACACCGGAAUCAGGUUUUUACCUUAUUAUAUUGCCAUAUAUUAUUUUUUUAAAGGGAUACAGGGCAUGAAACAAGAUGGGAGUGUGCCAGAGUUUCAUUCCCAGCCCUCUGCAGAGGCUGUUCCAAAGCACCGUGCCCCCUGCUCGUGUGUGCCCACACCGACCCAUCCCAGAGCAGGAGCAAACUCAGGUUGAGCUCCCCAAAACCUCUUCUAGAAAAUCUGCCAGCUCUGGGGCUCCCUGCCCCCUUCACCAGCACUGCUGGCUUCCUCCUCAUCCCCUUGGUUAACUUUUAAUUAGGAACCUGUUCUUUGCCCACCUCUGGCUGGACGUGAGCCUCUCCUGCUCCCCAGCUUCCCCACGUGGAAAUAAGCAGCGUGUCCGUGUCCCAGGGCAGACAAAAGGUGGCAGUGGGAGUCUCCAAAUCAGCAGCUUGGAAAGGAGGGGGAAGGGGCCCCGUGACAUUUCCAGCCGUGGGGCUGCAGCAGGAGGUUGCAGGUCA